rnacentral:rRNA from 1 species
ACGCUGGCGGCAUGCCUUACACAUGCAAGUCGAACGGCAGCACGGAGCUUGCUCUGGUGGCGAGUGGCGAACGGGUGAGUAAUAUAUCGGAACGUACCCUGGAGUGGGGGAUAACGUAGCGAAAGUUACGCUAAUACCGCAUACGAUCUAAGGAUGAAAGUGGGGGAUCGCAAGACCUCAUGCUCGUGGAGCGGCCGAUAUCUGAUUAGCUAGUUGGUAGGGUAAAAGCCUACCAAGGCAUCGAUCAGUAGCUGGUCUGAGAGGACGACCAGCCACACUGGAACUGAGACACGGUCCAGACUCCUACGGGAGGCAGCAGUGGGGAAUUUUGGACAAUGGGCGCAAGCCUGAUCCAGCAAUGCCGCGUGAGUGAAGAAGGCCUUCGGGUUGUAAAGCUCUUUUGUCAGGGAAGAAACGGUGAGGGCUAAUAUCCUUUGCUAAUGACGGUACCUGAAGAAUAAGCACCGGCUAACUACGUGCCAGCAGCCGCGGUAAUACGUAGGGUGCAAGCGUUAAUCGGAAUUACUGGGCGUAAAGCGUGCGCAGGCGGUUUUGUAAGUCUGAUGUGAAAUCCCCGGGCUCAACCUGGGAAUUGCAUUGGAGACUGCAAGGCUAGAAUCUGGCAGAGGGGGGUAGAAUUCCACGUGUAGCAGUGAAAUGCGUAGAUAUGUGGAGGAACACCGAUGGCGAAGGCAGCCCCCUGGGUCAAGAUGACGCUCAUGCACGAAAGCGUGGGGAGCAAAC